rnacentral:tRNA from 1 species
GUCCCCAUCGUCUAGUGGUCAGGACGCCACCCUUUCAAGGUGGAAACGCGGGUUCAAUUCCCGCUGGGGAUGCCA